AGCUGCUCAUCCUCCUGGCAAACCAAAACAGAGUUGCGGUGGAGCAGGAUUCACUUAACACCCUCACUGGUUGGCUAACAGAUAAAAACCGGCUGUUCAAAUUCUCGCGAUGUAAACUUUGCAAACACUGAAUUAGCCUUUUAUUACACCAUAGGUGAAAAAUGCUAAAGCUGUUAUUUUUCUGGGACAUUUAACAAAAAUCAUCAUUUUCAGGAAGUCAUUGUAGCCGAUAGUGUCCUUCGAUGUCCCUCCAGUCACCUCUGACAUCAUCUUUUUCAGCUCUAAUGUGACGGAUCUAGAGAGCUGCUACGGAGUCAAAUGGAUGAAGUAUGUCACAGGUGCAGAUCAGAUGAAAGUUAUCCUUGCUUGGCCUAAAAAAAAAAUCUUGUAAAACUUGGAGCCGAUGGGGGAAGGACAGAUGAUUCUUACAAAACUUCUGACGAGGGACUCUACAGCUGUGUAAUCUGUCAAGGCUGGAACUCUCUUCCUCAGCACUGACAAAAAGUUAUACUGUAUUGGCAAACAGGAAGGAAGAGAACAGUCGUACAUUUAUUGCAGUGGUGGCCUUUGUCAUUAUUGGGAUUGUCGUGAUUGCUGCACUGACAAGAGUUUUCGUUUACCACAUACUCAGUGACCCAGACGGUCACACAGCAAACCCACAGGCAACCAGCAGGUCUGAUGUGUGUAAGCGCUCUUUCAACUCUGACAUCAGUGCAGCGUAGUGUUAUUAUGGCUGCUUGUUCUCUUGUUGUUAAUCAGGUGCACUUAUGCAGUCGGUUGAUGGUUAUGAGAAUGUGACUCUUACACCUUCAGAUGGGGAGCACCUUGUUUACUUUAUCUCACAGAUCCUAUCUUUAACUUUAUCUCACAGAUCCUUCAAACCAACAAGUCCUCAGUCCAUACCAGAAAUUUGAGGAUGAAAGCGUGUGUAUUUGUAAGUAAUACAACGAUUAAGAAGUCACAACUACUUUUAUAAGAUCGUACUUUACUUCUCA